ACGUAGGUGGCAAGCGUUGUCCGGAAUUACUGGGUGUAAAGGGAGCGCAGGCGGGGAGACAAGUCAGCUGUGAAAACUAUGGGCUUAAACCAUAAACUGCAGUUGAAACUGUUUUUCUUGAGUGGAGUAGAGGUAGGCGGAAUUCCGAGUGGAGCGGUUAGUGGCGUAGAUAUUCGGAGGAGCACCAGUGGCGUAGGCAGCCUACUGGGCUCUAACUCACGCUGCGGCUUGAGAGUGUGGUGACCAAAAAG
rnacentral:rRNA from 1 species